UUAUAGCAGCCACAGUGAGGCAAAAUUGCCUAGUGACAAUAAGACCACUCACAGCAGGGCUUCGUGGCUGAGCCUGUUAGUGCUUGCCCAGGCUCAGGGACCAUCAGUUCCAGAAGUUCUCGAAAAGAAAUAUGACACUACAAGGUGAUUGAGGUCUUAAAUUGCACAUGAACUGAACAUGACUGAGGCAGAGCUGUGAAAGACAUCAGUCCCUACUUUAUCUUCCAAUCCAGUGGCAAGACAAAAUCAAGAUGACAGCAAUGGCUCAAGAUGCAAAAAGAAGCAAUGAACUAGAGGUACAGAAAUCAGACAAGUAUUCUCAGAUGUGAUCCAUGCACUGGUCUUGUAUCAGUGAAAAACUUUUAUUCAGGAAUUCAGAGGAAGAACUCUGUAAAGGAGGAUCCUGAACACGCUGCUGCAAUCCCUUCAUCAUCUCUACCAGCUCCUGGUGAAACUCUUGAAUCACUUCUUCUAAGAGACCAGCAUCCUUCAGCCCUCGCCAAAAGGCAAAAGUCUCAUCUGGAGAAAUAAAAAGAAAAUAACCUCUGGUGUCAAGAAUAAAGUUCAAUGCAAUUAACAA